GGAUUCUCCUAGUAACGGCGAGUGAACGGAGAUUAGCCCAACAUCGAAGUCUAUCUACUUUUGUGGACAAGACAAUGUGAUGUUUAGGCACGCAUCUUGGAUGGCUCGUCUAUUCGAAGUCCAACUCCGAUUAUGGCUUUGGAUUUGAUCCUUAGAGGGUGAAAGACCCGUUCGAGUAGACAAUAUUGUAUUUGGGCUGUCCUUUGAUAUGUGUGCUCUUGAGUCGGAUUGCUUGAGAAUGCAGUCCAAAGUGGGUGGUAAACUCCAUCCAAGGCUAAAUACUGGCACGAGUCCGAUAGUAGACAAGUACCGUGAGGGAAAGUUGAAAAGUACUCUGAAGAGAGAGUAAAUAGUACGUGAAGCCGAUUGAAUGGAAGCUGGUGGAGUCAAGCUUCUUGCAUUUGGAAUUGACACGGAGACUUUGUUGUUCAUUAAGACUGGCAUGAAUAGCUUGCAAACGGCUUGGUGGUUUGCCGCCCUGCGUUGUCUGGGUUGAUGACUUUUGUUGUGCCAGUUCUCUUUCGUCCCUUGUGUUAUUUCUUUUUGCAUGGAUCAUGGUCAAUGCAGCUGUGGUGUGUAUUAGUUAAACCGAGCUUUUGCAGGCUUUUGUUUGCAUGGUUCGGGAUGGCAGGUAGUGGCUUUACAGUUUCGGCUGUUUAGUCACAUAUAGUGGUUUUCCUGCCGACUUUUAUGCCUUUUGGAGACUAUUAGUUGCAUUGUUUGUUUCGCGCAGAUCACCUUAAUUGGUUGCCUGUGUUUUUAACAGCCAUGAUUUUGAAGUAGACUUCCACCGGACCCGUCUUGAAACACGGACCAAGGAGUUUAACUUGCUCGCGAGUCAACGGAUUAUUAACUAUAUCCAAUGGCGUAAUGAAAGUAAACGGUUGCUUCUCGCGGCCGAAGGUGUGAUCCUUGCUUGUCCUGAACUGGGCUGCAAGGCGCAACACCGGCCCGUCUCUUAAUGUAGUCAUGCUGGUUACGGCUGGUGUGCGUCAUCGAGGCGGUGCAAGAGCGAGCAGGUUGAGACCCGAAAGAUGGUGAACUAUGCUUGCGUAGGUUGAAGCCAGAGGAAACUCUGGUGGAGGACCGUCGCGGUUUUGACGUGCAAAUCGAUCGUCAAACGUGAGCAUAGGGGCGAAAGACUAAUCGAACCAUCUAGUAGCUGGUUCCCUCCGAAGUUUCCCUCAGGAUAGCUAGCACUCAUUUGUUACAGUUUUAUCCGGUAAAGCGAAUGAUUAGAGGUAUUGGGGACUAUUUGACCUCAACCUAUUCUCAAACUAUUAAUGGGUACGAUGCAUGGCUCGCUUAAUUGGAGUUGUGCAUUGAAUGUGAGUGCUAAGUGGGCCAUUUUUGGUAAGCAGAACUGGCGCUGUGGGAUGCUCCGAACGUCAAGAUAAGGUGCCGAAUUUUGCCGCUCAUGAGAUACCACAAAAGGUGUUAAUGCAUAUAGACAGCAGGACGGUGGCCAUGAAA
rnacentral:rRNA from 1 species